ensembl:lncRNA
UUUUUUUUUUUUUUUUUUUUAUAAAAUGUAGAGACAGUGCAGUAACAUCCGAAAGUACAUAACUCAUGUACAAUUAAAGGCAUCCGUGUUAUGGUUGAAUUUGGCGCAAUGGACGAGAUUCGUGGUCUAGCUAGUGGACAUCAGUUAUGAUGAGUGGUGAAACAUGUGGGGUAAUCAGGAUGCAGAGCGUGAGUCCAUUGCUGCCUCAGCGCCAGGAGAGUGUAGAGGGUCGCUCACCAAACCUGAGGCCGAGGCACGGGGAGCUGAUACCCACACCAUUUGGACCAAUAAAGCGGUUGUCAGAGCUCCAGUGCUUCGUUAAGGCUUACUUCUGCCUCACAAUCAUCUCCCUGGUGGUGCUCUUCAUUCUCACUAUAGUCAACAUCACGGAAGAGAGCAGGAAAGCGGACGACGAUGAUG